CAGUAGCCGCGGGAAUACGUAGGUGGCAAGCGUUGUCCGGAAUUAUUGGGCGUAAAGGGCUCGCAGGCGGUUUCUUAAGUCUGAUGUGAAAGCCCCCGGCUCAACCGGGGAGGGUCAUUGGAAACUGGGAAACUUGAGUGCGGAAGAGGAGAGUGGAAUUCCACGUGUAGCGGUGAAAUGCGUAGAGAUGUGGAGGAACACCAGUGGCGAAGGCGACUCUCUGGUCUGUAACUGACGCUGAGGAGCGAAAGCGUGGGGAGCGAACAGGAUUAGAUACCCGUGUAGUCCCUGUCUCUUAUAC
rnacentral:rRNA from 1 species